AACGAACGCUGGCGGCAGGCCUAACACAUGCAAGUCGAGCGAGGACUUCGGUUCUAGCGGCGGACGGGUGAGUAACGCGUGGGAAUGUGCCCUUCUCUACGGAAUAGCCCUGGGAAACUGGGAGUAAUACCGUAUACGCCCUAUUGGGGAAAGAUUUAUCGGAGAAGGAUCAGCCCGCGUUGGAUUAGGUAGUUGGUGGGGUAAUGGCCUACCAAGCUGACGAUCCAUAGCUGGUUUGAGAGGAUGAUCAGCCACACUGGGACUGAGACACGGCCCAGACUCCUACGGGAGGAAGCAGUGGGGAAUCUUGGACAAUGGGGGCAACCCUGAUCUAGUCAUGCCGCGUGAGUGAUGAAGGCCUUAGGGUUGUAAAGCUCUUUCAGCUGGGAAGAUAAUGACGGUACCAUCAGAAGAAGCCCCGGCUAACUCCGUG
rnacentral:rRNA from 1 species